GAAGCAACAUGUAGCCAAAGACAACUUGCCAGCUUCUCUCUCUAAACUCCCUUCGAGGGAGAGCAAAUCCAAAUGAGAAGGCCGGCAAGUCAUCCUUGGCUGCACCUCACUUUCU
rfam:Musa acuminata subsp. malaccensis Doubled-haploid Pahang (DH-Pahang) genomic chromosome, chr5